rnacentral:rRNA from 1 species
AACGAACGCUGGCGGCAUGCCUAACACAUGCAAGUCGAACGAUGGCUUCGGCCAUAGUGGCGCACGGGUGAGUAGCGCGUGGGAAUCUGCCCAUUGGUCUGGAAUAACGUUGGGAAACCGACGCUAAUACCGGAUGUACCCUUCGGGGGAAAGAUUUAUUGCCAAUGGAUGAGCCCGCGUCAGAUUAGCUGGGUGGUGGGGUAACGGCCUACCAAGGCGACGAUCUGUAGCUGGUCUGAGAGGACGACCAGCCACACUGGGACUGAGACACGGCCCAGACUCCUACGGGAGGCAGCAGUGGGGAAUAUUGGACAAUGGGGGCAACCCUGAUCCAGCAAUGCCGCGUGAAUGAUGAAGGCCUUAGGGUUGUAAAGUUCUUUCGCACACGACGAUGAUGACGGUAGUGUGAGAAGAAGCCCCGGCAAACUUCGUGCCAGCCGCCGCAGUAA